rnacentral:rRNA from 1 species
CCUACGGGAGGCAGCAGUGAGGAAUAUUGGUCAAUGGGCGCGAGCCUGAACCAGCCAAGUAGCGUGAAGGAUGACUGCCCUACGGGUUGUAAACUUCUUUUAUAUAGGAAUAAAGCAAGGUAUGUAUACCCUCUUGUAUGUACUAUAUGAAUAAGGAUCGGCUAACUCCGUGCCAGCAGCAGCGGUAAUACGGAGGAUCCGAGCGUUAUCCGGAUUUAUUGGGUUUAAAGGGAGCGUAGAUGGGUUGUUAAGUCAGUUGUGAAAGUUUGCGGCUCAACCGUAAAAUUGCAAUUGAAACUGGCAGUCUUGAGUACAGUUGAGGUGGGCGGAAUUCGUGGUGUAGCGGUGAAAUGCUUAGAUAUCACGAAGAACUCCGAUUGCGAAGGCAGCUUACUAGACUGCCACUGACAUUGAUGCUCGAAAGUGUGGGUAUCAAACAGGAUUAGAUACCCCAGUAGUC